UGAGUCCUACGGGAGGCAGCAGUGAGGAAUAUUGGUCAAUGGGCGGGAGCCUGAACCAGCCACGCCGCGUGAAGGAAGAAGGCGCCGGGCGUCGUAAACUUCUUUUGUCGGGGAACAAAGGGCGCCACGCGUGGCGUUGUGAGUGUACCCGAAGAAAAAGCAUCGGCUAACUCCGUGCCAGCAGCCGCGGUAAUACGGAGGAUGCGAGCGUUAUCCGGAUUUAUUGGGUUUAAAGGGUGCGUAGGCGGUCCGGAAAGUCAGCGGUAGAAGCCCGGGGCUCAACCCCGGCGAGCCGUUGCAACUGG
rnacentral:rRNA from 1 species